GUGAAUCAUCAAAUUUUUGAACGCAAAUUGCACUCCCUGGUAUUCCGGGGAGUAUGCCUGUUUGAGGGUCGUUAGAAUAAAAAAUCGAGGCGUCGCUCUUUUUUUUAAGUGUGAUCGCGUCGUAAUUGCGCCGUCCUUCAUAUUUUAAUUCAUGUCAAAGUGGCUUGAAAUUCAUCCAUCCGGUACGAUUAAAGCGUAUUUAAGCUCAAUCUUAAUUAAGAACGCGCGAUGACUUACCAUCU
rnacentral:misc_RNA from 1 species